rnacentral:lncRNA from 1 species
ACACAGAAGUAAUAUUUUAUAAGAUUAUUUCCAGGAAAUAAAUUUUUAAGUUCCAAGUUUCAGGUUCUUACUCCAGGCAUCCAUUGCAAUGUAACACAUUUUUGAAGUUGAGUAGCUUAAAACAAUAACCAUUUUAUGACAUCCCAUGACUUCAUGGGUCAGGAAUUUGGGCAGGCCUCAGCUGGGUGAUUCUUCUGCUCCAAGGGUGCCAACUGGCAUUACUCACAGGUACUCAACCAGUGAGUGCGCUCGUCUGGACAGUUCAAGGUGGCUUCCUCACAAGUCUGGUGCCUGGGAGGGGAUGGCUGGAAGGCUGGGGUCAACUGGGUCUAUCGACUCCAGCAUGGCAUUCUCAGGGUAACUGGUCUUCUUAGGGGGCACUGUAGAACAUCUUGGAAGUGGAAGUGACAAGGCUUCUUCUCACUCAGUUUCAGAGAGCAUGCAGUAUCACACUUCUGUCACCCAGUACGGGUUACAAGAGAAAGGGCCAGCCAGGAUUCAAGGAGAGUCUACACAACGGUGUGAAUUCCGGGAGAUAAGGUUCACCGCAGGACCAUCUUUAGAAGCUAACACCUAUGGUGAAGAUUUAAUGUUCUAAAUUGACACAGAGAGGUAGCUUUGCCUGGUUUCCAAGCCAGGUGCAGAGCUGUGAAAAAAGGGUUUCUGGAGACAACAUUCCACAACUAAACUUUGUAGUCCAAGGAAACAAGACCUUGGGUCCACUUGUAGUCCAGACCUGGUGUCAGGAAUAGCUUUGCUAUGUUGGGACCUACCAAAACACAGCUUCAUUUGGAGUCACACUGUAGUGCAGUGGGUUAAUGAUCUGGUGUGGUCUCUGCAGCAGCUUGGGUCACUGCUGAGGUGCGGAUUCUAUCCCCCACCCAGUGCCCGCUGCAGUGGGUUAAGGAUCCAGGGUUGCCACAGCUGUGGUGUAGUCACACCUGUGGCUCAGAAUUGAUCCCUGGCCCAGGAACUUCCACGUGCUGCAGGUGUGGCAAAAACAAAACAAAACACAACUUCAUUUAAAUUUUUUCUAAACUCUACACUUCCCUCAAAACCCUGUAGCAACUUCACCUUUUCCUUUGGUGCGACAAACCAAGGUUUCUUAGGUGUGAACUCUCCCUUAUUACGGUGAAUAAACCUGAAUCUGGGAACUAUGGAUUCAUUUCUGGAGGUAUUACGAUGAUGGGAUGAGAACACUGGAGGCUUUCAUAGUACACUCCUCCAUUUUACAAACAAAAAUUGGGAACCAGAAGGGUUUCCGGUUGUUUUCAAAGUCCUCACACAGCAGUUCUUGCACAUGAAGAGGGUCCAGGGUGUACACCUUCGAAAAUCAAAAGACAAAAUCAACUGUGGAGUGGUUUUCCUUAAACAUGUAAUCCUCAGUUUGAUCCAGGCCUUUUAAGACCUUCUUUACACUGCAGGUCAGCAUUCCUCUGGUGUUGAGAUUGAUGAGUUUCAUAACAUUUACCAGGAGGCGAUUGGGACCGCCAGUUCCCAGGACCUUCUUCCACUUCGCUCUACUGUUCCACAUUUCUUCAGCACCUUAUAUUCCUUAGACGAAUUUCCUUUUUCUUUCUUUCUGACUGUACCCACAGCAUGCCAAAAUUUCCAGGUGAGGGAUCAACCCAGCACCAUGGGCACCAACAAUGUUGGGAUCCUUAAUCAUCUGACCCACAAGAGAACUCUUCCUUUUUUCUUUCUUAUUCCUGUCUCCCCAAGCCAUUCUCUCAGUAAUGAGCAAUCUCCUGAACCUGAGAGCCACGACCCACCGUUCAUUCAAGUCUUCCUUUUUCCGGCAAAGCGCUUUAAAAAAGGAGAGCUAGCAAUCAGUUUAUCUCCAGACCAAAAACAAAGCAAACACUUUCUCGCAGACGUACAGUGUUUCACUUAAACUACGACAGCAAGCAGAUUACGAAUUCUUUGUCCUCUAAAGAAAAGAAAGCGCAUCCAAAGGCACGGGGAAAUCCUCAGCAGCGCCCGCAGGUGCUCAGGCACGCGGGCGACGGG